rnacentral:rRNA from 1 species
AGCAGCCGCGGUAAUUCCAACUCCAAUAGCGUAUAUUAAAGUUGUUGCAGUUAAAAAGCUCGUAGUUGAAUUUCGGGACUAAUAUGUCGGUCGUACUUUGUACGUACUAGCAUUAUUGGUUUCUCCCUUCUGACGAACCACAAUGUCAUUAAUUUGGUGUCAUGGGAAAUCAGGACUGUUACUUUGAAAAAUUAGAGUGUUUAAAGCAAGCUCGCGCUUGAAUACAUUAGCAUGGAAUAAUGAAAUAGGACGUUUGAUUCUAUUUUGUUGGUUUCUAGGAUCGACGUAAUGAUUAAUAGGGAUAGUUGGGGGCAUUAGUAUUCAAUUGUCAGAGGUGAAAUUCUUGGAUUUAUUGAAGACUAACUACUGCGAAAGCAUUUGCCAAGGAUGUUUUCAUUAAUCAAGAACGAAAGUUAGGGGAUCGAAGACGAUCAGAUACCGUCGUAGUCUUAACCAUAAACUA